GAUGAACGCUGGCGGCGUGCCUAAUACAUGCAAGUCGAGCGAACAGACGAGGUGCUUGCUCCUUCGACGUUAGCGGCGGACGGGUGAGUAACACGUAGGUAACCUACCUAUAAGACUGGGAUAACUUCGGGAAACCGGAGCUAAUACCGGAUAAUAUUUCGAACCGCAUGGUUCGAUAGUGAAAGAUGGCUUUGCUAUCCCUUAUAGAUGGACCUGCGUCGUAUUAGCUAGUUGGUAAGGUAACGGCUUACAAAGGCAACGAUACGUAGCCGACCUGAGAGGGUGAUCGGCCAAACUGGAACUGAGACACGGCCCAGACUCCUACGGGAGGAAGCAGUAGGGAAUCUUCCGCAAGGGGCGAAAGCCUGACGGAGCAACGCCGCGUGAGUGAUGAAGGUCUUCGGAUCGUAAAACUCUGUUAUUAGGGAAGAACAAACGUGUAAGUAACUGUGCACGUCUUGACGGUACCUAAUCAGAAAGCCACGGCUAACUACGUG
rnacentral:rRNA from 1 species